rnacentral:rRNA from 1 species
GACGAACGCUGGCGGCGUGCUUAACACAUGCAAGUCGAACGAAGAGCGACGGAAGCUUGCUUCUCUCAAUCUUAGUGGCGAACGGGUGAGUAACGCGUAAUCAACCUGCCCUUCAGAGGGGGACAACAGUUGGAAACGACUGCUAAUACCGCAUACGAUCUAAUCUCGGCAUCGAGGAUGGAUGAAAGGUGGCCUCUACAUGUAAGCUAUCACUGAAGGAGGGGAUUGCGUCUGAUUAGCUAGUUGGAGGGGUAACGGCCCACCAAGGCGAUGAUCAGUAGCCGGUCUGAGAGGAUGAACGGCCACAUUGGGACUGAGACACGGCCCAGACUCCUACGGGAGGCAGCAGUGGGGAAUCUUCCGCAAUGGCCGAAAGUCUGACGGAGCAACGCCGCGUGAGUGAUGACGGCCUUCGGGUUGUAAAGCUCUGUUAAUCGGGACGAAAGGCCUUCUUGCGAAUAGUGAGAAGGAUUGACGGUACCGGAAGAGAAAGCCACGGCUAACUACGUG